GAUGAACGCUGGCGGCGUGCCUAAUACAUGCAAGUCGAGCGAACAGAUAAGGAGCUUGCUCCUUUGCCGUUAGCGGCGGACGGGUGAGUAACACGUGGGUCACCUACCUCUAAGACUGGGAUAACUUCGGGAAACCGGAGCUAAUACCGGAUAAUAUUUCGAACCGCAUGGUUCGAUAGUGAAAGAUGGUUUUGCUAUCACUUAUAGAUGGACCCGCGCCGUAUUAGCUAGUUGGUAAGGUAACGGCUUACCAAGGCGACGAUACGUAGCCGACCUGAGAGGGUGAUCAGCCACACUGGAACUGAGACACGGUCCAGACUCCUACGGGAGGCAGCAGUAGGGAAUCUUCCGCAAUGGGCGAAAGCCUGACGGAGCAACGCCGCGUGAGUGAUGAAGGCCUUCGGAUCGUAAAACUCUGUUAUUAGGGAAGAACAUACGUGUAAGUAACUGUGCACGUCUUGACGGUACCUAAUCAGAAAGCCACGGCUAACUACGUG
rnacentral:rRNA from 1 species